UCCUCAUCUAUAAAUACAGCCCCAUGGAACCAUGGCAAAUCCAUUGCAAGCUACCUCAACAACUACAAGAAAAACCCUAUAGUUUUCACGUUCAAAAACUCUCCCACAUUCACCAUGUCUGACAAGUGCGGGCAACUGCGACUGCUCUGACAGCAGCCAAUGCACGAAGAAGGGAAACACCAUGGUCAUUGAGACUGAGAAGAGCUACAUCAACACUGUCGUGAUGGAUGCUACAGCUGAGAACGAUGGCAACUGCAAGUGCGGUGCUAACUGCAGCUGCACCAACUGCACAUGCGAUCAUUAAG